UUUCUUAUCCAAAACCCGAAGACAUGCAUCAAACGUUUUUUUCUCUUUUCGGGCACCAGAUUUUAAAAUGGACAGCAGCCGGAAAAGCCCAAAUUUGGCAAGGAAACCGAAGAAAAGUUUGUCGGAGGCCCAAAACUGAAAAGAUAUUUGCCGCUUUAGGAGGGUCCUUGUUCACUCUGGGUGUCCGAAUUUGCUGCCGCAUUUUAUCGAACAAGUGACAGCAAAGGCGAUCACACUCAAAGCUUAGUUCUUGUUUUUUUCUUUACAGGUGCCAGUGAAGGGAAAACACUUCGCAUUUCAUCGUGAUCUGGUUCAAGCAGGGGCAGUGAUUGUAGUCACAGUAGUGUCAAAAGUGUCGAAGCUUUAUUUUAAAGUUACAGUUGGUGAACUUCAGUGAUGGUGCUUGCUUCUGUGUAAAUGAAGGCAAUUCUAAAUGGUCUUGGCUUAUGAGUAGAGGUUGCUAUGGGUUACAAUAAAACAAAUACAUAUAUUAUUCACUUUUACUUUGUUUAUUGGUCAUAUCAGAGAUGUAGAUGCUAUUGGUCUCACAUGUUCUUAUUGGACCUUUUUACUUGUAGUGGAAUAAUGUAUUACUAGUCCUGAACUAUCAUAAAAUCUCGGACUCGAUUUGAUUUCAAUCAAGAUUCACAAAGAGAGGAAACUGAGUGAUGAUGGUGAUUAGAGAGUUCUGAACUCUUUAUGACAUCUCAGACCGGUAGCUAUUUAUUGAGUUAAUGGAAGACUCUAUGAGUCAAUGGGAACCAAAGUAAUAUCAGAGUUUGGGCUUGGAC